UGAGUGUGGAGAGGGCCACCGUUUGGAAUGUUGGCGGGCUGUCAGGAGGACAAGGGCCGACAUUGUUGUGACAAAGCUGAGUUUUGACAAAAAGCGGUGCUCGAACAUUGUUGUGACAGCGCUGCGAUCACCUCCCCAGUCCGGCUGCGGCCGGAGAUCCACUUCGCAUCUUCACAGGCUUUGUCCCAACAGGCUGCGGCUAAUUAGAAACAGGUCAGACUGAAUGUGGAGUUGCGAACACACACAAACUGACACACACACACACACACACACACACACACACACACACACACACACACACUGUGGCAACCCCGAUCCAACGGAGGAGUUCGAGCCCCGCCAGCGCCCUCUCCGCGGGCAGGUAGUCAGGGGGAGAUAUGUGCCGCUCGGCGCAGCGAUGCGGGAGGGAGCAUCGAGCGCACCCGCGCAAUCACGGAGAUGCGGAGCACCCGGCGGAGCAAGACAGCGGAGGGGACUUAACGGCCGCGUGGACACCAGUCAGGGGAACGCGACCGAACGGGAAAGACGCACCGCCGACGAUCGGGGUUGCCACAGUGGUGGAGAAUGCAGGCAACGCGAUCCUACGGCAGACCCUAGAGGACCAUGAGUCAACCCGGAGUCCCGGCCGCAACGCGGGAGGAGGAGAUCGAGGUGUUGCGGCGAUGCAUGGCCCGGAUGGCUGAGCAGCUCGCA